AGCUCCGAGGUGUUUUUACAUAUUAGAUUGCAAAUCUAAAGAAGCAAGAUUAGACGUCUGCCGGGGCUU
rnacentral:tRNA from 3 species